rnacentral:snRNA from 1 species
GAAAGUAAAGGUGAUCUGACUGCGACAUCUAUCACCCCACUGAUGCAGUGAGGGUUGAUUCCGCUGAUAUCUGGCUGGCUAGGCGGAUGGAUGUCCCCUUCCUCCCUCACCGCUCCAUGUGCAUCCUUUCCGAAGCUGUGCUCUGGGUGGAAGAGGACCUCCUUCCCCGAAUAGAGAUGGUCUGGUCUUCAGUCGAGAGUAUAUGAGUAGCUACACUCUCCUGCAGGAACCUCCAAACAAGUUCUCAAGCUCUUAGAUGAAAAGACUAGAAAGCCAAGCAGUUGUGGGGUCUGGGUGCCAGCAUUACCAUGUGA